GUGCUUUCCAAUGGUCUUAGGAGACCCCUUUGAAGAGGCCAUUCCACCUUUAAAGGGGUUGCAACCCACAGUUUGAGAACUGCUACCCCCAGGAGAUAGAAACCAACUAAGGAAAGGGCAGGGUAACAGUUCCAACCCCAAUGCUGUGCCCACUCUGGCGCCUGUGCUGAUGGAGUGCAUGGUAGACACAGGUGGCUUAAUGUUGUAUUGAAUCUAGUCACAGACACAGUAUUGCAUGUAUCCAGUAUGCAUUCACAACACACCCAGAAAUUUACCCAGUCAUGCAUGUGUGCACCCAUGCAUUCAAUACACACCCACCAUUCACAUUCAUUCUAAACACACUUAUUGAUGAGUACUUAAGUGCAGAACUUAGUGAUGGACACUGGAGGUGAUGAACUGAGCAAGACCCAGCCCAUCUUUAAUGAUCUCAUGGCCUCAGAGAGGAGACCUUUGUAUGGUCAGCACAGCAAGAUGAGGGUAACUCAGGAAUUACCAUAAGUCUGGAUCAUGGAAAGGCUACACUGCCUAUCUUCCUGAGAAGAGGGCAGCUUAGCCUGGCCUUGAAGGGUGUUUAGGAGGUUCAUAGGUGGGAAAUAGGCGGUCAGUAAAAUUUCUGUCAAAACAAAUAGUACCUUAAAGGCAAGAGAAAAAAAUGUCCCCUUUUAGAUCUAGACACAGAGGGGUACAAGGAGUCAGACAGCAGGAGGGAAGGCAGGGCUGUCAUAGUGCUCCAAUUAGAUGCAGGGGUGAGGCCUGGGUGAGCCUUGGGGAGGUGAGACAGGCAGCUAAACACAACACAAAGGAAUACUGAGAGCAGAGAGCAUGCAGGGAGCUGGGUAGGAGGCUUCUCCACAAGUUAGAACCAUUCAGAUGGUUCAGAGAGAGUGGGCGGUCACUGGAGGUAUCCAGUGGGUGGGACUAAUGGGAUGUGGCUGCAUCAGUGGAGGGUGAAGAGUAGGCCAGCCUUCCUUUCAUGGUUUCAGUCUUGGCGAUUGGUGAUAGAGUUAGAAGAUGUGAUGAUUCCAAUGGCUGAGGAUGGAACACCUGGAAUCAGCUCAUUUAGGGAGGAAGUAAGAGUGUAACCCCAGUGGAAAGAUCCCAUUUAUUCCUCUUAAAAUGGGAAAAGGUGGGUGUAGAACUCACUAGGACCUCAGCUGGCUCUGAACAAAUCAUGGGAGAUAUGGACCCCUUGUUUUCUUCUCCUAGACACCAGACCUGUAUUUAUGUUUCUUAACAUAAGACUAGACUCUGCACAUCCAAGUCACACCAUGGAGUCACUCUAAUGUUACACUGCCAAUUUGAUAACAUGAAGACUUUUUUUCUUCUGUCCUGGGAACUGAACUUAGGGCCUUAUGCAAGGAAAAUGUUCCACAGUUGAGACAUAGUUUCACUUUGAGACAAGGUUUUACUACAUUGCUGAGGUUGGCUUUGAACUUGAAAUUCUCCUGCCUCAGCCUUCAAUGUAGCUGAGAAUAUAGGCAAUGGCCACCUGCACAGGUCACAAAGAGCUUUGGACCUCAGGGGACUGACAGCCUUUCUUUCUCAACUCCAUGAUGGGAUUUGGCCUACUACUCAAUCUGGUGAAAAUCAUCUGGAAACCCCACUUUUCCAUUCAACACAUGGGAGAAAGUCAGAAGACAGUCUGAGAAUUUCAACUUAACUUUUCAGCUUCUUUAGGAAGAGUUUCACUGCUGAAGUUUGAGGUAGGCAGGGAGAACCUAGAGGGCCUUUUUGAUGUCUUAUUUUGCAAAGAUUUUUGUGAAGACCUGAGACUAGGGGUGGAUGUGUGUGUGUGUGUGUGUGUGUGUGUGUGUGUGUGUGUGUGUGUGUGUGUAACACAGGGAGAGUAUGGAGGCAAUGUAAUCCCUUGAGAGGUGGAGGCAGGGGAAUCAGAAGUUGAAAGGCAUCCUUGACUACAUAGUGAAUUUGCUUGCAUUUGGGGCAGGCUUGGAUUACAUGAGCCUCUGUCUUAAAAAAAAGGAGGCAGGCAGGAAGGGAAGAGGGGAAGGAGACAGACAGACAGACAGACAGACAGAGAUAGAUAGAUAGAUAGAUAGAUAGAUAGAUAGAUAGAUAGAGAACAAGCUGAUACCAGUAAGACUAAUUCCCCAGCUGUUUUAGGUCUACAUUCAGUUAAAGCUCUGGGCAAAGACUCAGAUCCAGUGUUGUUUUGGGUCCAGUGUUGUUUUGGGUCCAGUGUUGUUUUGGGUCCUGUGUUGUUUUGGGUCCUGUGUUGUUGUUUCCAGGCGGGUGGGGCUGUUUCAGUCACAGUGGGUCUGUGUCUACUUUCAUUUUACAUAUACUCACUGAUAUUUACACCUGAAGGCUCUGUGCUUGUCCUUGGGCACCAGAUACAAGUCUACUCCAUCAGAGCUCCUAGGCAGGACACAGGUAGUCCUGACUGUUGGAGUUCCUCUUGCCUCAGGUCUCUGAUGUUCGAUGGGAACCCAGCCCUUAGAGAUUUUUGGAGUCCAUGGACCAGCUGGAAGGACCAAGCUUGAGAUUCUGUUUUUGCCAUUGACUCCCUGUGUGACUCUUGUUCCUUGAGCCUCAGUUUCUUCAGCAGUUAAAUGGGAGCAAUUUGUGUACUUCAUGUUUGCAUGAAGACUAAAUGAUGCACCAUAGAGGCUCUCCCUAGGAAUGUGAGGUGCCUAGAGUAUGUCAUGGUGUGGGGGCAGGCUGGCCAGGCUUCAACAGUUGGGCUCUAGGAGCCUCUGGAGAAUACCUUCCUAGAUUCACAAGCUCGGCUUGAGGAUGGCAAAUUGAAUGGGGAAGAUACUAUGAUUGAGGGUCCCUCACUCAAAUCUCUGGACAGUGCAGAGACAACCAGAAAACCUCACAUGCAAAGAAGUGAGAGUCUAUAGCUUUCAUGCCAAAGGUUCCAACCAUGAGGAAGGGAUGCUCUCUAUGUGGGUGCCAGUCUGAAUCAGGGGACAGUGCCAAUGCUCUUGGCCUGUGGCUUGUCUUCCACUAACCUGGUCCUGGAAGAAGGAACUGGUGACCCAUCUUGGCAGAAAAGAGUCCUUUGAGGAUAUUCUGAAAUUGUCACUUCAAGAUAGGCCGGAGCAUCUGAGGGGAAGGAGAGAGGGACAGGAAGGUGGGUGAGAAAGGGUUGAGCUUGUUUUUAAGACUGUAUUAGUCACUUUCUUGUUUAACAGAAUACCCCACGAAGCAAUUUAAGGAGGGAAGGCUUGGUUGCUUUAGGCUCACAGUUCCAAGGCAGAGAGGCCAGAAGGCUUGGUGGCAGGAACAUGAGGCAGCUGGUCAUUGUAUCCAGAGUCCAGAAGCAAAGGGAGAGACAAAUGGUGGUGUGCAGCUUGCUUUGGUUUUUCCUUCUCAUUCAGUUCAGGACCCCAACCCAUGGAUGGAACUACCCACUAAGGAUGGCCUUCUUGCUUAGUUAACCCUCACAAGCAUGCCCAGAUGCUCGUCUCCCAGGGAACUCUAGAUCCUGUCAAGUGGACAAGACUGACCAUCACAGUGGUCAAUUUGACUACAUCCAAACAGAAAUCUGCAUGGAAGAUUUGAGACCCACACUUCUACUGGCAUUAUCAGAACAUCCCUGGGAGUGUAUUAAUAGCCUGGAGUCAAGGUACAAAUGGUUAUUUAUAUGUGUCAGUGAUGGCUAAAGUACACUCUCUGGUAAUUAUUCACAAUUAACAGGCACUUCUGCAAAUGAGCAGAAUCUGUUCUUCAUCCAUUGGAGGUAGCAAUUUCUUAUCCCAGACUCAUGUACUGGAGACUCUGGGUAACCAGCUCGCCCUCCCAGCUCCAGAGCAGAACUAAUUAGAGAUUAUAAUCCUGACCUUCAGGCUCCUUCCUGAGCCUGAAGGGUACUUGAGUCAUCCAUAAAAUAUAAUGUGUUCGGUAGAAUUUCAGUUGACAAUAAUAGAGUUGAACGUCAGUGAACCCUAUACACCUGUUAACUCUUGGCUACCUGGAGGUGAGGUGUUGCAUUCUUAGAGGGAGCUCUGACAGCCUGCCAGCUGCUCAGAAGACAGUCCCUGUCUUUUUCUGUGCUCAAUCGCAGUCUGUUUUAUGAGCUAAAACCUUAUGUGCAGACCGUCUAAGAGUUAUUGGAAACAUAUUGGCUGGUCUGGGUCCUUGAGGAAGGCCCCCUGUGUUGAUCCAGUUCAUUCCAUCACCCUUGCCUUCUCUAACUUUCAAUCUGUUAGCUGUGCUGGCACUGUCCGUAUAAAGACAGACUCCAUAUCUGGUUGCUUUUGAAUAUCCCACAGCUCCUCCUACAUCUGGUCUACCUAGAUGUGAUGGGGUAGGUCCUUCUGUGAGAAGGAGGAUUCUGGAAAAUGUAGGAAAGGGAAGGAGUCACCAUGUGAUCCCGGGAAGAAGAGGACGCGUAAGGCUGGCUUCCUUGGCGAGAUAAGUCUUUAUAAAAAUAUAUAGAUCAGUAGUUGUGGUUGAUAAUUAAGACUGAAAGAGUAAUCGUUACAAAAUGGCGACCAUGUGAUUUUACAAACUUCCACAUAAAAACUUCAGAAAAGCUUAAAAAGGGAUUUUAGAAGCAAAAGAACAGAGAUUAGCAUGAAUUCUUGGUAGCAGCAUUUUCUUGGGUGGUCUGUUUUUCUAGAGACAAGCAGAUAUUCGAGCCGCUCCCUUAAGGGAGGUUUCCUGACUCAGCAUAAGUGGAAAAAACCACAGGGCUCUCUUAAAAGGCCUUGCUAACAAUUGAAUGGUGUGUACUGGCAGUGGCAGUGACCACAUCUCCAAGCUGGCACCAUGCUCCUUGAUGGUAGCAUAGACCAAGGCAGUAAGCACAGCUCUCAGUCCUGGUGAUAAAUGUACUCCUGCCCCCCCCCACCAUCUUGGAAAGACAUCGGCUAAAACAGCCACCAUUUUAAUUUUAGCAAUGUUGUUUAUUAGAUAAAAGACUGUGUGGCCAGAAAAAGGUAAAGAUUUACAGUAAAGACAGAUUCAGAUGAAGAAAAACCUCUAAAGGUUUACAGUGUGUUUAAAAAUAUAUGUAGGCUUAUGAGAGAAAAAGAAACAAGAUAAAGUGUUUAAAAAUGCUUUGACUUCUAAAUUUAAAUAUAAGGACAGGUUACUUGGAAAAACAAUUUUUGCUUAUGUUUCCACAGAAAAUGUAAAGCUAUGGAUUCCUUCUAGACUAAUAUGGUUUGAUCAAGCAAGACCCCCCUAAAACACUGUCCCAGGUGAUCCAACAUCUAAAACAGCUAAGAUGAUACAGCCUUACAGACUACAAAAACAAGGACCUGGCCAGGUUUCUGUGUUUUAUCAUGAUCCCCAUGGUAUGGACAUCGUCCCCAACCAGCAGGAAGCAGUUUGGAAUGAACGACACCCAAAUUCCCAAAUAUUGUUUAUAAAUGUUUGUUUUCAUUUACAUGGGAUUGGUUAUAAAUUGUAACGAUCACAGUCAAUCUCUUUUUAAAGGGAAAAAAACAACCGGGAAUAGGAUAUAGAAAUGAAUACUUUGCAUUGGUAUGGAUUUUCAUUUAUUGAUACAACUUUAAGGUCAAUUUUGUGAUAUGCAUAUUUCUCCUCUCAUUUAGGUAUUGUGUUUAUACAGCUCUUUUAAAAUGUAAUGCAUAAUUAGAUACAGAUUGUAUAUAGU
ensembl:lncRNA